GCGGCCUAUCAGCUUGUUGGUGGGGUAAUGGCCUACCAAGGCGACGACGGGUAGCCGGCCUGAGAGGGUGACCGGCCACACUGGGACUGAGACACGGCCCAGACUCCUACGGGAGGCAGCAGUGGGGAAUAUUGCACAAUGGGCGCAAGCCUGAUGCAGCGACGCCGCGUGAGGGAUGACGGCCUUCGGGUUGUAAACCUCUUUCAGUAGGGAAGAAGCCGUGAGGUGACGGUACCUGCAGAAGAAGCGCCGGCUAACUAUGUGCCAGCAGCCGCGGUAAUACGUAGGGUGCGAACGUUGUCCGGAAUUACUGGGCGUAAAGAGCUCGUAGGUGGUUUGUCGCGUUGUUCGUGAAAUGCCACAGCUUAACUGUGGGCGUGCGGGCGAUACGGGCAGACUGGAGUACUGCAGGGGAGACUGGAAUUCCUGGUGUAGCGGUGGAAUGCGCAGAUAUCAGGAGGAACACCGGUGGCGAAGGCGGGUCUCUGGGCAGUAACUGACGCUGAGGAGCGAAAGCGUGGGGAGCGAACAGGAUUAGAUACCCUGGUAGUCCACGCCGUAAACGGUGGGUACUAGGUGUGGGUUUCCUUCCUUGGGAUCCGUGCCGUAGCUAACGCAUUAAGUACCCCGCCUGGGGAGUACGG
rnacentral:rRNA from 1 species